rnacentral:rRNA from 1 species
AUGGAGCCGACAGAGGACAUCGAGUUCCUCUGGAAGUGGCGCAAGUACCUCCUGCUGCUCGCCACGCUGGUCGCCAGCGUCACCUACGGCGCCGGCCUCAACCCGCCGGGCGGCGUGUGGUCCCAGGACCAGGGGCCAGGCAGCAACAAUGCUCGAGUGCACCGCGCCGGUGCCGUCCACCGCCCGACGCCGCUGGCCCCGGCGCCGGCCGGAGUCUACCCCUUCCGCGUCGGCGACCCGGUGCUGGUGUCCACCUACCCGCGCCGGUACACCGCCUUCUUCUACUGCAACGCGGCCGCCUUCGUUGCGUCCCUGGUCAUCAUCAUGUUCCUGCUGGAUCAGCGCAUCAGCAACAACCCCGCCGGCCUCACCGUGCUCCGCCUCGCCAUGCUGCUCGACCUGCUUGCCCUCAUGGCCGCAUUCGUCGCCGGGAGCUGCCACAACGUGGUCUCCUUCAUCUAUGUCUCUGCCGUCUGCGUCGUCGUCCUCCUCUACUUCGCCAUCUACCUAGGCGUGGCCUCCAUCUCCUCCCAUUCCCGUCUACUACUUUUCUUUUGCGGUGAAAGCUCGUGUCUACUACUAUUCAUGAGGAAAGCGCCGGUUGCGGCCUCGUACGCGGUGAAGGGGCGCAUCAAGGAGCGACGCAAGUUCCUCCUGCUGCUGGCCACCUUCGCGACGCCCCUGACGUACGCCGCGGGGUUGGCGCCGCCGGGAGGCUUCUGGAGCGAGACCGUGGCAGGGCACAGCGCCGGCGCCCCGCUGCUGCACGACGGGCGCUACAAGAUCCGCUACCACGCCUUCUUCUACGCCAACGCCAACUCCUUCGUGGCGUCGCUCGCCAUCAUCAUGGUGCUCACGAGCAGGACGCUGAGCGACCGCCUCAUCCAAUCGUACCUGCUGCUUGUGUGCGUCCUGGUGGAGCUGCUGGGCCUCAUGGCCGCCUACGCCGCCGGCAGCUGCAGGUUGAUCACCACCACCAUAUACAUCGUCUCCCUCGUCGGCGCCGUGCUCCUCUACAUUGUGGUGCAGAUGGUCGUCGAGCUGCUCUGCAAAUUGCGAGUACAACAAGAUAGGAUAAAACAGAGGAGAGGACAUAGGAGAUCGAACAGGUGCAGGGGAGACGGCGUGCAGGUGCAGGCACAUCCUCCCCCUCCUCCAGCUUCGUGGUCAUCUCUGAUCGACAGCAGCAAGACGGCGAGGAGGUGGUUGACGACGGACAGGUGCAGACGGCGGCGGCCGACCCUCAACUCGAUGGCGGGCAGCUGCUCGCGCUGCGCUCCCUCCUCUUCUCCUCCUUCCCUCCAGUACUACGGCUUCGUGGUCUACGGCGAGGUGGUUGACGACGGCAGCACCAGGAGGUGGUCGACGGCGAGAGGUAGAGGCGCGGCGGCGCGAGGUUGUGCCGAGGAGAGGAAGGCGAGGAAGAUGGCGGCGCAGGGAAGGAAAAGGGGCGGCGCAUGCGAGGAAGAGGAGGCAGUGGCAAAGAGCAGCACCGCCCACCGGCACCCUCGAACCCAGCAUCGAAACCCCCAGCAUCUGGAGCACACCGACGACGCUCGCCGGCCACACUCCUGUACAGUUCCUCCCGAACUCCGUGGUGGCAUCGGAGCAAACGCGACCACGUCGGCGGAGUUGGAGGACAAAAACCGCGCUGAAGUCGCCGCCGCUGCUGCCGCGACCCCGCUCGGACACCUAGCUCGCAGAUCUGACACCGCCCGCACCGGAAACCGACUUGACGAACCUCAAACCCCUCCGACGAGCCAGGGGCCGCGGAGGAGAGGAGCUACCGAAGCCGCCGCCGGCAAGCGAGUCAAACUUCUCUUCGCCCUUUUCCUGUGGAGAGAGAAAGGGGAGGAGGAGAGACCAACGCUGGCGAAGAAGCCAGAACGGAAGCAAAGACAAGACGAAGAGGAGUCACGGUCGCUUGUAUUGCUGCUGGCCACGCUGGCGGCAACUGUGACGUACCAGGCAGGGCUGAGCCCGCCGGGCGGCGUCUGGCCGGAAGGGCAACUGAAUCACACCCCGGGGAACCCAAUCCUCCAUGACAUGCACCUCAAGAGGUACAAGGCGUUCUACCACUGCAACACGGCGGCGUUCGUGGCGUCGGUGGUAGUCAUCAUCAUCGUCCAGAACAAGCAUCUAAACACCCUCGGGCAUGCUGCGCUCAAGAUGGCCAUGAUACUGGACUUGUUCGGCCUCAUGGGCGCCUAUGUCGCCGGGAGCUGCCGGGACAACGCCACCAACAUCUACGGCAGGGAGAGCUGCCCGACACGGUGGGUGCAACGCAUGCGCGAUAAGCUUAUAGAACAUCUCACCCCCAACGAGCCGCCCCGGCAAGGGGAAGGAGAACCACCUCUCGAUGAAGAAAUGGGCGAACAAAAGAAGCUUGAGAGGAAGCGCAAGUUCUUGCUGCAGCUUGCCAUCCUCGCCGCCACCGUCAUGUACCAGACCGGGCUAAACCCGCCCGGCGGGUUCUGGUCAGAGACAGAGAGCAAGGGCGAAAGGCCACUCACUGCCGGCGACCCGGUUCUCCUCGACCACUACGGGAGUAGGUACGAGGUGUUCUUCUACUGCAAUGCCACAGGGUUCAUGGCGUCCGUUGCGGUCAUCCUGCUCCUGGUGAACCAGAGGCUGUACAAGCAGGGCAUCCGGAGCAAGGCACUCAAGGUAUGCGUCAUGGUCGGGCUGCUGGGCCUCAUGGGCGCCUACGCGGCCGGCAGCUGUAGGCUGCUGCGCACCUCCAUCUAUGUCUUUGCGCUAGUGGCCGCGGUGGUCGCCUUCCUCGUCCUGCAGAUCUUGUUCUUCCGCUGUGGUCGCCGCAAGUUGCCAGAGCAGCCGCACGGCGAGAACGAAGGCGAUGAGGUUCCGGGGCAGUCAUGGGUUCCAGAGUGCCUCCAGCGGUGGCUGAAGCCGCUGUCGUCAGCGCCGGACGGCAAGAACGAAGGAGAUGAGGUCUCCUCUCAACCGAAACGACGCCGCCAGGAUUACGAGAAAAGCAAGUCUCUGAUGCUGCUCGGCAUCCUUGCGGCGAGCGUGACGUACCAGGCAGGUCUCGCGCCUCCAGGCGGCACCUGGGGUGACGACGAUGAUGUGGUGGUAUCGCCGUCGGCUGCAUACAUCUCCCAUGCCGGCAACCCGAUCCUGCUCGACACCAACACGAAACGGUACCAGGCCUUCUUCUACUGCAACGCGACGUCAUUUGUGGCCUCCAUCGUUGUCAUCUUGCUGCUGCUGCAGCGCAACGUGAGCAAGCGAGGCGCGUCGCUGCAGGCAAUGCAUACCGCAGUGGUGCUGGACCUGCUCGGCCUGCUAGGUGCCUAUGCCGCCGGCAGUUGCAGAUACUUGGAGACGUCCGCGUACGUCAUCGCCCUCGUUGCCAUGGUGGUUGUCUUCAUUACCAUCCACGUCCUUCUGUCGAUUGGACGACGUGCCUGGGAAGGCCAAGAAGGUCACGGUGUGGAGGACAAUGAUGAUGAUCGCAGUUCAGCACCCUCCCACUUACCGCCAUCGGUGGCGAUGGGCCUCUCCUGCAGCCUUCUCCUCCUCCUCACAUCAGCCCGGAUCUGCUCCAUAGUGGCCACGUUGGAGGCCAGGCAGGUUUUUGCCCCCAUCUGCCAUCCCUGCUUAGGGUCGGAAGAGUCCUAUACAAAUAUGGGAGCUUGCAACAUUUCCCUUUGGCUCCGACUUGGCAGGUUGGUCCGAGGCCAUGCUCGGUGUACUGCUAGUUUUCCCUCCCGCAUUGGCUCCUCGCCGACCAACAAGAAUCUGGGCAGCGCCCCCUUUCAUCAUAGUGCUUGUGGUUACCAGAGGGAGGAUGAGGAGCUGGUGGUAUGGAGCAUUGGUGUGGAACAGGGGUGGCCAUUGCGCUCCUGCGGCCUGUCUCCAAGCAGUUCUGAUGUUGAUGGCAUUGUGGAAUUUUGGUACAAAGAUCUGUCUAUCCACGAUCCUUCUAUGAUGCUCCUGAGUAUGCUGGUUGACAAAUCAACGACGUGCUUCAGAUCUUUGGUUUCCGCCAUAAUUUCCCGCAUCCCGAUUAAACCUCCCAAUCGCGAGAAAGUUCUCCGAGAUGAGAAGGCCACUUCGAGUGCCGGGCAGACCAGGGUGGAAGCAAUACUUGGAAUCCCCGUGUGUGGAUUGGAGCUGGGAAAGCUUGUUGCGCAGCGUGGUCAUCUCAUUCUUGACCGCAUCUGCCAAGAACACCUGCAGCUUCUCGACGCCAGCGGCAGACCUGUCAUCUUGCUGCCUCUUGGCCUAGGCCGCUGCGGUAGCGGCGCUGACAAAGGUGUUGGCCAUUAG